rnacentral:rRNA from 1 species
AUUGAACGCUGGCGGCAGGCCUAACACAUGCAAGUCGAGCGAGAGGCGGACGGGUGAGUAAUGUAUGGGGAAUGCCCGAUAGAGGGGGAUAAAUGCUGGAAACGGUAGCUAAUACCGCAUACUAUCGGAUAACCCAUAUGGGAGUAGCUAGUAGGUGAGGUAAUGGCUCACCUAGGCGAAGAUCCAUAGCUGGUCUGAGAGGGUGAUCAGCCACACUGGGACUGCGACACGGCCCAGACUCCUACGGAGGCAGAAGUGGGGAAUAUUGCACAAUGGGCGCAAGCCUGAUCGAGCCAUGCCGCGUGUGUAAUGAAGGCUUUCGGGUUGUAAAGUUCUUUUGUCAGAGAAGCGGUAUCUGCCGAAUAAGCACCGGCUAACUACGUGCCAGCCGCCGCGGUAAUAC